GACGAACGCUGGCGGCGUGCUUAACACAUGCAAGUCGAACGAAGAGCGAUGGAAGCUUGCUUCUAUCAAUCUUAGUGGCGAACGGGUGAGUAACGCGUAAUCAACCUGCCCUUCAGAGGGGGACAACAGUUGGAAACGACUGUUAAUACCGCAUACGAUCUAAUCUCGGCAUCGAGGAUAGAUGAAAGGUGGCCUCUACAUGUAAGCUAUCACUGAAGGAGGGGAUUGCGUCUGAUUAGCUAGUUGGAGGGGUAACGGCCCACCAAGGCGAUGAUCAGUAGCCGGUCUGAGAGGAUGAACGGCCACAUUGGGACUGAGACACGGCCCAGACUCCUACGGGAGGCAGCAGUGGGGAAUCUUCCGCAAUGGACGAAAGUCUGACGGAGCAACGCCGCGUGAGUGAUGACGGCCUUCGGGUUGUAAAGCUCUGUUAAUCGGGACGAAAGGCCUUCUUGCGAAUAGGGAGAAGGAUUGACGGUACCGGAAGAGAAAGCCACGGCUAACUACGUG
rnacentral:rRNA from 1 species